rnacentral:rRNA from 1 species
UACGGGGGGAGCAAGCGUUGUUCGGAUUUACUGGGCGUAAAGGGCGCGUAGGCGGUCAGCACAAGUCAGUUGUGAAAUCUCCGGGCUUAACCCGGAAAGGUCAACUGAUACUGUGCGACUAGAGUGCGGGAAGGGGCAACUGGAAUUCUCGGUGUAGCGGUGAAAUGCGUAGAUAUCGAGAAGAACACCUGCGGCGAAGGCGGGUUGCUGGGCCGACACUGACGCUGAUGCGCGAAAGCUAGGGGAGCAAACAGG